GACGAACGCUGGCGGCGUGCUUAACACAUGCAAGUCGAACGGUAAGGCCCUUCGGGGUACACGAGUGGCGAACGGGUGAGUAACACGUGGGUGAUCUGCCCUGCACUUCGGGAUAAGCCUGGGAAACUGGGUCUAAUACCGGAUAGGACCACUGCCUGCAUGGGUGGUGGUGGAAAGCUUUUGCGGUGUGGGAUGGGCCCGCGGCCUAUCAGCUUGUUGGUGGGGUGAUGGCCUACCAAGGCGACGGCGGGUAGCCGGCCUGAGAGGGUGACCGGCCACACUGGGACUGAGAUACGGCCCAGACUCCUACGGGAGGCAGCAGUGGGGAAUAUUGCACAAUGGGCGCAAGCCUGAUGCAGCGACGCCGCGUGAGGGAUGACGGCCUUCGGGUUGUAAACCUCUUUCAGCACCGACGAAGCGCAAGUGACGGUAGGUGCAGAAGAAGGACCGGCCAACUACGUGCCAGCAGCCGCCGCCGUAA
rnacentral:rRNA from 1 species